ACUCUUCUUUACCUCCUUGUUUGAAGAAAAUCUAUUUUGCCUUGUCCUUGAGGUAUUCAUAUACUCUGUUUUUGUUUUUGUUUUUUUGGUACCAGGGAUCGAUCUCAGGUCCUUGAGCUUGCAAGGCAGGUGGUGGAACCACUAAGCUAAAUCCCUGGUCCUCAGAUAUUCUGGAUCUUGUGAUUCUGGCACAGCUCCUGGCAGCCACUGCGGGCUCCUCAAGAGCCCACAUCUCCAAGUCACGGGGACACAAAGGACAGAUUCAGGACCAGUAAAAGCAAGCCUCUGCCUGGAGGGUCUCCAGAUCGCCUUUAAAGGAAUGUGAAAGGCAGCAAAAAUGGGUGGGAUCCACCUGU
rnacentral:lncRNA from 1 species